CCUGGAUUCUGUAAACUGGCAAUAAUACGUCAUUUGAAGCGCAGCCCUCUGCCUCUAAAACCCUACGCAGCUGCACCUGGACUUCUAAGCCCGGAACAGUCCUCAGAGUUCUGAGAUGCUCUUCCUGGGUUACAGUCCUCAACUUUGGCUUGAAUGAAAUUUUCCGUUUCUUGCUUAGAUCGACUGAUUAAUUUCUCAAUGGCGCAUCCCACAUCACAACAGGUCAGCGAGGUGUGAGGAGGGGAGCCCCGCGGCCUUUCCCAGGGACGCUCCUGGAGACACGGGCUGUGCCGCUCCCCUAAGCCAGCGCCUGAUAAAGGGAGCGGCAGCUGGCCUCUGUGAAAAGCCGCGUCCACAGUCGUGACCACACGGGAGGGACCGAGCAGGAUGGGACUUCUGGGCCCGCCCUUGGGCAGCAGAACCCCAGGUCUCUGAGAACUGCGAGCGCUCCCGGCUUGGCCCCCGUCCAGCUGCAUCAGAACCUUCCGGAUGCUGCCGCAGCUCCGUCCUCCUCUGCUGCCCACUUCCGUCCAGUCCUGCCCUGCGGGGGACCUGAUGUGGCCCACCUACCCUGGUGCAUCACAUCCGUCCGAGAAGCCCACCUGUGCCCUGACCUUGCUGACGGCUGUGCUGGCCAAGGAGGGGACACCUGUGCUCGCCAUCCCUUGGUAGAAUUCUUGCAACGCGAGAGACAUGGCCACCCAGCAGAGCAGAGAGAGAAUGGUGGUGACAGAAGCCCUUUGCUCCUCCCGAAACAGGCUGGUGGUGUCAGGAGGGGAUUCCUAAAAAUGAGGUGGGAAUUGCAGCCCAGCCAGAGGGUCCCAGGGCACGUGCGGUCCCGACAGCACUGGCCCCAGCAGCAUACACCGUCCACGACGCCUUCUCGGGUCCUGAGCCCCACCGGUCCCUGCAGGUGCACGGGCUCUGGGGAAGCGUCUGGGGCCGUGUCAGGAAGCAGCUCUGACUCCCAAACAGAUGUGAAGCUUCUGCUGGAACCCACCUGGGAACUCAGAGAACUGCCACCUUCCACAGCCCGGGAGGUGCCCGGGGCCAAGCUGCCUCUUCCCGCAACAAGCAACUUUGGGUUAAAGUCGAUUCGCCUCCGUGCCUCAGCCCCCUCAGCCCUCGGGAGGGAAACAAUAAUACUGGUCCAGCAGAUAACCGUAGGACCCCCCAUGCACCAUGGGACAGGCCGUCCCCCCAGCAGGGAGGUCCGGGAGCGGGAGGCCGCGAGGCUGGGUGGUGGGGCUGGGCCCCGACCGCGUGCAGUGGGCCGUGAGGCUGGAGAACGCAGAUGCGAGGAAGCUGUGCAGGACGAGCCAGAGGAGCAGGGCCCUGAGGGGUAGAGGAAAGCGUGCCAGAACAGGAACAGGUGGGCGAAGCCUUCCAGGCAAGAGAGCCCGAGGGGAGUGGAGGUGGCCUGUGAAUCCCCCGUUGCCUCCCCUUCCGGGGCCAAAGAAGAGACACAGGGGAGCAGCAGACAGUAAGUGUGCACGCUGGCUGGGGACAUGGCGGUGUGCGACGCCAGCGGUGGCCGGCACAGGUGUCCUUGCUGUGUGCCGGACGCAAGCCAGGUAAGCGGGCCUCGUCACCCCGAGUCACAGACGAGGGGACUGAGGCCGGCAUGGUUGGCUGGUUAGCCGGAAGCCACACAGCUGAGGUGGAGAAGCCAGGACCUGCCCGAAGCCCUCUGGUUGCACCGCUGUCGCUGCCUCCACAGGUUCGACGGACGCUUUGGGCUGUGACCGAGCCGCCCCCUGGCCAGGAUGAAGACCCCGGUGGCCCGUGGGGUUUGGAGCGCGGUGGGCGCUCGCGCCCUGGGGGUCACGUGGAGGAAGGACCAGGAGAAGAAGUGGUGUUUAACCAUAUUCAUGCUGGCGGUGUGGUCUGAGCUGGGUCUCAACGACAGGCGGACGAGGUAAAUGACGGGGUGCGAGUGUCCCUGGGCGAGAGAGGGGGACAUGUGUGGAGUGCUCUGGACAGGCCCAGGGUCCCCGAGGUGCGGCAGAGCCAGGUGGACCCCAGGAGAGGGGUGGCGUGUCCACCUGGUGGCCACAGAGGACAUGGAGCAUUGCUACCCCAGGAGGGAAGGUGUCCUGGAGGGGUGGCCACAAAGGCCUGGAGAAGCCACCCCCUGCUUCUCCAGGGAGACCUGCUGGUCAGUGACCUGUUAGGUCACCAAUGAAACACAGAGCUGGAAAAUUCAGUUAAGAAAAUUCUCCACAAAGUUUGGUUUUUAUCAAAAUGCAGUCCGGCACGCAGUGGACUAACCAGAUUCAGGGAUUUGGGCAAAGCCAGAGUGUCGUGAGCCCCUGGACUCAGUGUCCCCCCUUCAGCUGCACAGUCCUGUCCAGCCCAAGCGACGUGUCUCAUCCCGCGUCCCCGUACCCUGGGCUGACUCAUUCGAUGAGCCUUCGUUCUUCUGGGGGGGAUUUGCUGGGCACCUGGGAUCUGUAUUUAAGGACAGUCCUGGCCACUGUCCAGCACCCGCCCCCAGCUAGAAGCAGGAGGUUUGCAACACCUCCUGCCAAACGCCUCAGGUAAGAGCGGGGACGAGGAGGAAACGCUCAGGACGCAGUGGGCACGGGAGAGGGGGCCCCAGGGUGCAGGGACCCACCGCCUCUCCCUGCACACCUCUGUCUUGGCAGCCUGCGCAGCUCUGCCUGCUGUGCCUGGGGGAGCAGGACCACCGAGGCCCAUCACAGUGCACGUCCCCUUCUCAGACCCCACGAGAAACUGUGGGGACACGUCUCUGGCCCUGUGCUGGAGAGGGUCCCACCUGGUCUCCUGAGCCCCGUCCGGUGUCAGGGAGACCCUCACUUGGCACAAUGGUGACCAGAAGCCAAAUGGCCUUGUUACCUCGCAGUGUGGGGGGUGGGGUGGGAGGGCCCAGGGGCUGAAAGCUCCUGUCCAGACCCUUCGGCUGAGCGUCCCUGAGACCGGAGACCCGCCUCGCAGGCCCGGGAUGCUGUGGCCGCCAGGGAAGCAGGGCUCCGCCCGCAUCCUCACUCCCGUCACCCUGAAGUCCAGCGCCUUCUCCACCAGGGGUGUGACUCAGACUGAGAGCACAUGAAGACAUCCCCCUGCAUCUGCGGCCACAGGCCCACACGCUGGGCUGGGGGUGGGGGGAGUCCAGACCCCACUGGCCUCCCGGGGACGGGAAGGUGCAAAAGGAGGCUGUCGCCCUCACCUCCCAGGCUGGGCGUCCUGAAAACGGGUGCCAGGACCGGCCCGGGUGCUGGGGCCUGAGCUGCUGUGGUCACUCUUGUCAGCUCUCUGCCCCGGAUCCCCCCCAUCACCUGUCCCCUCGGAGCAAGGGCUGGCUGUCAGGGAACGUCAGCGCCCCAGCGGGGCCCCCUCUGGGCCAGGCCGGGCAGCACUCUGCAGGGGGAUUUCGCCGGCGAGGUGGCUAGGCCGCCUGUGCUCCUGUGCCCUCCAGGACAAGGCUGGCCUUGCUUUAUUCAGAUACUUUACGUUCUGCCCUGCUGAGGAAUCUGCGUUCUCAGGGGACAGAUUCUCAGGGACACACCUGAGUCUCGGCGAAGCCCUGGGUGCCAGCGGCCCAGCUCUGCAGGUGGUGGGGUUCCCCGAUGGGAUUAGCCGUGGUGCUGGCGGGACUCCAAGGAGCCGGCACACCGGGCACCUUCGAGGUUCUUCCUCUGGCUCCAAGAUCCUGGCAGGGCCCAGUGAGGAGACACUCUGAGCUCCAUGGGACCCGAGACUCUGACUGAGGACAAAGGAAGCCCUUGGUUCAGCCUUCGUUGGAGAGCAAGGACCACAGUCUCCUCUGGGCGCUCCUGCCUCGUCAAGAUCUCAGCCUUCGUCCUGCAAGCGGAGGCCAGGAUGCUGGCCUGAGGCCCCCGACUUCUGGCACCCACCCGAACACAAGGCCUCGGAAACUGGGACUGGCUGGCGCCUGAAGCCCACGGUGGCCGAGUGCCCCUGGCUGCCCCUCCUGCUGCUGGUGGACGGGCAGGGCCCUGCCGAGCGACGUCCGGCCAACUUGGGCAGCCUGCAGCGGUCUCUAGGUCACCUGGGGCAGUGCAAGCUACUUGACCGGGUGGCCUUAAGGUUAUAAGAAAAGUCAUGAAAAUGAGAAAACCUGCAGUCAGGAGGGACCACAAGCCGUAUGUCCACCCACCCGGCAAUUAUCAGACCCCGGAUCAGUGUUCCGCACCUUCCGGGUGACGGUGCCUGGACACGCGCGAGCUUGGGAACCUCAGAGGGAAAAGCCGAGGCAGCUGCCGGGCUGGAAAGUGGAAGAGAGCCGAGUAAACGGCUGGAGCCUCAGCCCUUAGUGCCACUGGGCCUGGUCUGGCGCAUCAAUGGGAGAGUCAAAUUUUACUUCGAACACCAGAGAUUCGGGCCACAUGGAUGGACCUGGAGAUCAUCAUUCUAAGAGAAGAAAGUCGGACAGAGAAA